CAUUCAUUUUCUAUCACCCUGAAACAGCAGCGGCGUUGGAAGGAUCCUAUCACGUCCCCACCUCAUGGCUGCAGCAGUUACUACCACAAGGGAAAGAGAGGUACUUAUGAUAUUCUCUUCACAUCGAUCAUUAAUCUGAGUUAAAAUUUACAUAACAUAGAUGAAGAAGGGAUAGAACAUCUGUUCCAAUUUAUACUGGACUGUUGGGAAAAAUUCCCCCUCCUAUUACUGGGCCAUACUGAACAUCUGCAGGGACACUCCCAGGUGCCCUCUUAAGGGCAAAGGGGAAAUUUCAAAGGGGAGUUCUCCCACAAUACUACAAUUGCAGCUACAGCCACUGAGAGCAAUGCUUGCCCGCCACUCAGAGCAUCAUCUGUAAACAAAAGGUAGAAAAUCAAGAAAGAACACCACAAACAGCAAGGCGGACCUUCACCGAGAGAACCACCAUCAUGAUGAGCAGUAAAUGAGGGUGGUAAGAAACUCCAUCAGGAAAGAAGUAGAGCCCUCCACUCUCCAGGAAAUACUUACAUACAUGCAAACAGGAGAAUACCUGCUACUCAGAGUUGCCUACUACCCCGGAAUAUCCGUCAGACUCUUUCCUGCAUCCCUGUGUGGGCGUGGACCAGCCUCAUGGAUCCUCCCCACUUCCCCCCUGAAGUGGACAGUCUGAGGAUUUGUGACAAAAGACAUCACCAUGAAUUGAAACAUUGUACUGCGUGUCAUUGGGCCUCAGUGAUACAGUUGACUGUGCCACACCCCAACACCACCCAACUGGAGCUCCUCCUUCAGUCUUUCCCAGAGGCCACAAUCAAGAAGUUUCUAGGUAUGCUCAUAAGAGGGAUAGUACUAUAAUGUCAUAUUUUCUGUCCAAUAUUUUUAGUCCUGAUAAGGCCAAAGCAUGUUACAUACAUGUACAUUUUUCUGAAACAUUGUAUUUAAGGUAUUUUAGGUCCAGUGGUCAUAUUAUUGAAUCUGUUUUCCUCACAGUCAUCUAUCUAUUAAAAGGGCAAAAUGUCUUAUCUCAAGUAGAAGUCAUCCCACUGGUGGUAAUAGUCACCAGAUCUCAAUGGUAAUAACAUCCCUUCGCAAAGCAUAAGUAAGCCUAUUUAACAAGGAUUGUAGCUCCAUUAU